UACGGAGGGUGCAAGCGUUGUCCGGAUUUAUUGGGUUUAAAGGGUGCGUAGGCGGUUCUUUAAGUCCGGGGUGAAAUCCCAGGGCUCAACCCUGGAACUGCCGUUGAUACUGGCGGGCUUGAGUUCGGUCGAGGCGGGCGGAACUGGCGGUGUAGCGGUGAAAUGCUUAGAUACCGCCAAGAACCCCGAUUGCGUAGGCAGCUCGCUUGGCCGAAACUGACGCUGAGGCACGAAAGCGUGGGGAGCGAACAGG
rnacentral:rRNA from 1 species